rnacentral:rRNA from 1 species
GACGAACGCUGGCGGCGUGCUUAACACAUGCAAGUCGAACGAUGAAACCUAGCUUGCUAGGUCGAUUAGUGGCGAACGGGUGAGUAACACGUGACUAACCUGCACCUUUCCCUGGGAUAACGCACCGAAAGGAGUGCUAAUACCGGAUACCCACAACGAGGCACAUGCCUGGGUGUGGAAAGUUUUUCGGAAAGGGAUGGAGUCGCGGCCUAUCAGCUUGUUGGUGAGGUAACGGACCACCAAGGCGACGACGGGUAGCCGGCCUGAGAGAGCGACCGGCGACACUGGGACUGAGACACGGCCCAGACUCCUACGGGAGGCAGCAGUGGGGAAUAUUGCACAAUGGGCGCAAGCCUGAUGCAGCGACGCCGCGUGAGGGAUGAAGGUCUUCGGAUUGUAAACCUCUUUCAGUAGGGACGAAGCGAAAGUGACGGUACCUAAAGAAGAAGCACCGGCUAACUACGUGCCAGCCGCCGCGGUAA